rnacentral:lncRNA from 1 species
CACACCACACCUGGCUAAUUUUAUUUUUGUGUGUGUGAUUUUUUUCCUGUAGAGACAAAAUCUCACUAUAUUGACCAGGCUGGGAGAGCCAGUGCUUUAGAAGUCUCUAGAAUUAUUCCUGUUUCAAGUGUUUGGGUUUAUGGUGGUAAACACAAGGGUAGCUGGUUAGGGUAGGAAGAGUACUGAUGAACUGAGUUAGGGAAGCGUUCAGGGACAUCCAGGUGAAAGGGUCAGCAGAUAACUCAGAGAUGAGUGUAGAACUCCAAGAAGUUUGCACUGGACAAGAAGACUCGAGAGUUAGGAAUGAGCCAAAUAGAGUUUAAGUUAGGGCUGCAUGGAACUCACUCUGGAAAACCCUGAGGAUGUGCAUCGUAGGCUCUCAGCUCAGUGAAUGGCUGAGUGAGUGUCUGGGAAGCAGGGACAGGGUUUGGGGGGAUGUGGAAGAUGGCAGACACCCACAGGUCAGAACUAGUGGCCACAGAGAUUCAGUCAUUCAAGCAGCAUUUUUGAGUGCCAGCAAUGUGCCUGGCAUGAGGUUAAAUGACCAUAGUUACCUCAAGGAUCAGCUCUGAGAGCAAACAGCCAACAUGUAGCACCAUGAACGUCCUGGGAGAGACGUCUCAGCAGCUCACGGCAGCCUCAGCACGAACUGCCUGGGAUUGGGGGCCACAUGUACGGAAAACUCAUCUCUUAGCCAGUUGUGCCUGGCACAUGGGUUGGGUAAGGGAAGAAAGCUAACAGUACUGGGCAGCUAUGAGGUGCCAGGCACUGUGCUAGCUUUAAAUGCAUUUUCACUGAGCAAAGCCAGGAGAAGCAGCAGCGUGGGGUAGUGGUUAAGAGUGUGGCUCUGGCACCAGGUAGUCUGGGUUCAAAUGAUUUAACCUCUCUGAGCCUGUUUUCCCUUCUACACAUCAUUCCUGCGAGGGCCAAACAAAUCCAUCCACAUUCAGCAUCUGGAGCAGUUCCUGGCUUGAGGCUGCGUCAACGAUCGGAAGAAACAACUGAGGCAGCUCUUCUGCUCCCUUCAAGUUCAGAAGAAAGCUUCCAGUUGAUCCCCAGCUGCCAGGAGGAAAUCAGCCUUAGCAGGCCUUGUGUUUGAGAUUGGGAGCUGAGCCAGAAACCGGAAAACCCUGGGCUCAUGGGCAGGACAGCUUCGGGAGUUGAGUGUCAAGCCCGAAGGGAAGACUUUUGGAAGGAAAAUACUGGCAAAUCCAAGAAGUGAACCAGCCGACUUUAGGAAAGCCAGAAGCCAGGCUACUCUAGACCUUCUGCCUUCAGAGCAUGAGGACUUCUCCCACUCAUCCCUGUACCUGAGGCACACCAACCCAGACAGGUCCAGGCAUGGACUCCAGGUUCCCUAUUUCCAGAAGGAAUGCGAUUAGCUUUUUUUGGCCCAGCACCCACCCUGCCAGGGAGGAAGGGGCAAUUUUCCAGUGAUGAAAUUGUGAAUCAGGCAGUCACACUGGACAACAUCUAGCAAGGUGAAUUCUGCAACUCCCUACUUUAUUUACAUUUUAAAAUAAGCAAUAUAUUCAUACGGUUUAAAAUCCAAAGUUUACAAAAGGGUAUAGGGUGACAUCUCCUUCCCUCCCACCUGUGCGCCCCAACCCUGCAGGUGCUGUUCUGAGGGAAUCACACUGUGCUUGCACAAAAAUUAUUAGCUUAUAAGACACCAGCCUUCCCCUUGCUUUCCUCACUUGAUGUAUCUUGGAGCUUGUUCCUUAUUCUUGAUUAUAGUUGUAUGGUAUUGCACUAUCUGGAGCUAACACCUGUGACCCACACUCAUGUUUUAAAAGUUUCUGCAUUAGUCAAAAAUAUUUAAAAGGAGAUUCAACUUCACAACCCAUAUGUCUAGCUUCUCUUGAAAACACGUAAGAACUGGCCAUGACAGCCUGUGUUUCUAUGUAACUAUGAGCCAGAGCCAAGGAGCGGGGGGACCAGGAGAGGUGUGCCCCUGCCAUGCUGCCAUUUGUUAUCACCCGCCUGUCAAAUCACAGGUUUAUUUCAAGGCAAGAACCAUGUUCAUAGGUUGUAUUCUAAAUGGAGUGGCGUGCCCUUACUGAAGGACUAGAUGAGGCAAAUAAAGACUAGUUGCUGCUAUUCA